rnacentral:lncRNA from 1 species
AUGGUGAGUGUUCUUAAAACCCGCCUGACUUUCUGUACAAACCCUACAAAUGACACAGUACAAAAGGGCAAGGAUUCUCUGGAUGCCCAGGGAAAGUGGUGUUAUGACAGGAAGCCAAGUGGCCGUGGUGGACAGACUAAACCAGUUUUCUGGAAAAAGGCUAAAACUACAAAGAAGACUGUGCUGAGGCUUUAGUGUUGACCCCACUGCAGAUCUAAGAGAAUGCUGGCUCUUAAGGGAUCCAGGCACUUUGCACUAGGAGGAGAUAAGAAGAGAAAUGGCCAGUUGAUCCAGUUCUAA